AGUGUCCAUCCUCAUAAGAGCAUCCCAAACGUUUUUGUCCCUCCAUUAUUUUCCUUUCACCCAUCUGUGAAUGAAACCCACAAUGAAUUCUGCGAUUCUCCUAUGGCUGAAAUCCUCAAUUUCAGUUUUAAUCAAAAUACAUCUCUUCUAUUCUUCUGUAGAUUUAGUUUGAUUGUUGUUACUUUCUUGUUUAAACCUGGGAAAUGGGUUUAUUCUCAAGCAUUUGACAAAAAUCUAUUGCUUAUCGCACCAGUCAUAGGAAGAAGAGAAGAAAACAGUAACUCUGAACUUUCUAAAUCUAGCAUGUGGUUUCAUAUUUCUUAGUUCUUAUUCUUCAAAUGGGUUUAAUGAAGUUUUCGUAUGCUCAAUUUUCAGAUUUCUAUUGGCAAAAUAAAAAAUAAAAUUGUUUAUUUUUCCAAUUGUUAGAGCUUCAUUUGUUUUUAUGGAAAAAAGAAAACAGGAGAAUGCCCUGUUUGGUCGGGAUUUUGUGUUGAAUUCAAUUGAAUUCUUGCAAAUGAUUUAUUCUAAACAAUGAUAAUUUAUUUUUCUAAGAGUGUCAAAGUGAUAUAUUGAUGAGAAAAUAGAUUCUUCUUCUGCCUUUCUUUUUGGUGCUGUAUUUGUUUGUGUUAAUAUUGAAAAUAUUGCAGCUUGUAUAGGUGAAAGAAAAUUUACAGGAGUCACGGUCCUCUCUACCAUUCUUCCAAUCCCUCCUCUCCUUUCUCCGUCGAGAUGUCCACUGCCACCGUCACAGCCAUUCCUCGUCGGUCUGUUUUUCUCGGAGUCAACGUCGGUACAGGAAUCGCAUGCUCUGGUUUAUUUGAUGAGAAUGGGAAACUCUUAUGAACGUCUAGUAGUCCAAUUCAAAUUUGGAAAGAAUGUGAAUAUUGAGCAAUCGUCAACAGAUAUAUGGCAUGCAAUAUGUGCAACUGUGAAGUCAGCAUGUUCACUUGCAAAUGUUUCUGGUCAAGAAGUUACUGGCAUUGGUUUUGCUGCUACUUAUUCUCUUGUGGUUGUUGAUGCUAAUGGAGCACCAGUAUCAGUUUCAUAGAGUGGGGAUUCAAGAAGAAAUAUUAUAGUUUGGAUGGAUCAUAAAGCUGUUAAACAAGCUGAGAAGAUUAAUUUUUCUAAUUCACCAGUAUUACAGUACUGUGGUGGGCCCUUUCUCCUGAAAUGCAGCCUCCAAAGGUACUUAUUCAUGUUGUGUUUGUAAACUCUCGAAAUUGCAAGAAUUCAAUAUUAUUGAGUUCACGAUUUUAGUCAGUUUUUAUUUGGAAAGAUCAUAGUUGCUAGAAUUUGAUUCUUUCAACUUAAAAAGAACAUGGCAUUUUGAAGAAAUGAAAUCAUAAUACUAUAAGUGACAUGUUUUUCUAAGAAUGUAAUUCAAUUGAAUUCUUGCAAAUGAUUUAUUAUGAACAAUGAUAAUGUGUUGUUCUAAGAUGGCCUUCCUAUUGCUAUAUCAGACCUAAUCUACAGUGCAUUUAUUUCAAAAUUUUAAGAAUGAUAAGUGCUUUGAUUGAUUCUGAGUUUCAAAUAUUGAGAUUGAUGAGAAAAUAAGUUCUUCUUCUGCCUUUCUUUUUUGGUGCUGUAUUUGUUUGUGUUAGUAUUGAAAAUAUUGCAGCUUCUAUGGGUGAAAGAAAAUUUGCAAGGAGUCAUGGUCCAUGGUGUUUAGAUGGAUGUAUUUGAGUGAUUGGUUGUCAUACAGAGCAACAGGAGAUGAUACUUGUAGUCUAUGUACCACAGUAUGCAAAUGGACAUAUCUUGGGCAUGCACAUAAGCAGCAAAUGAAUGAAAAAGAUUCUCGAGAUAUGGAAGCUUAUGGAUGGGAUGGUGACUUUUGGGAAGAGAUUGGCUUGGGUGAUCUUAUAGAUGGUCAUCAUGCUAAGAUUGCACCAGAACAAGAAACCAAAAAUGAAUUCCAAUUUUCCGAUAGAGGAAACUAUCAGAAGAGAAGGGAUCUCAAAUAUGACACUUGAUAUCAAGAUUUCUGGCAAGAACAGAAGUUGGUUCGGGGACUUCAUAAACCAUAACAGAUGUGAGAAGGAAAAGAAAGCUGGAGUGUUGAGUAUGAUUCAUUCAGACCAUUUGCGGCUAAAUUUGAACAGUCUAGCCAUCUGACUGAGAGAUAACCUGAAGUCGCCAAGCGUGGUGCAUGGAGCUUUUUUAUGGAGCGUCAUACUGUGAGUAGUAUACUAUACACAUAUGUAUGUAUAUGCGUUAUCCCCUCCCAUUUGCAUUAAGCAUGCCUUUAAAUGCGAAUGAGAUUGAUGCCACUAAGUGAUCAAUAUGAUAUGUGUGCAUGCAUUGUGUGAAAAAUUGAUUUUAAUUGCUUAGCGGGAUUGAGUUGAAUCUCUUAGACGAUGGGGCACUCAUCAGACCAUCUGUAUUGAGGGUGCAAGCUUGAGGGAUAAUAUUAGUCUAGAAGUGCUUUGUUACCCCGACUAUUGUUGAUUGCUGUUUAACAAUAUUGAUGUGAUUGUUUAUGCUUAUAUUAUUUUGAUGCUAAUUGGAUAGGGAAAGUAGGGACCUCUAGGUGUCCAAGAGGUUCUUGAUGGAUGACUAGAGGGUUCAAAAGUCCGAUAUUCAGGGAAUCAUGGUCCAUUAGAGUUUGAAAUGAACCUAUAUAUAAAGAUGUUUCUAUAUAGCUUCAAAAAUAUUUUAAGCAUUGAAAAAAUCAUUAAAAAUGUUUUCAAAAUAGCAUUGUCAUUUUCUCUAAGUUUUGAACUUGAGCCUUGUGUCCGAUGGUCUUUCAGUAGUCCGCAUAUGUUUUGAGUUGCACAUGUUCAUUCAUGCAUCAUACAAUUCACAUGUCAAAUACAUCGAGUAACAUAUUGGUUGUCAGUCUCAGACACAAUGAUGCGAGUUUAAAACAAAGAGAAAAUGAAAAACUACACUAAAAUUUAUAGCAAUUUAAAUUUUAUCGUUUAGUAAUUUCGUGGUGUUAGGUUUAUUUUGGUGAGAGUUGUUAUUUUAAAUGAUUAUUUACGAGAAAAUGAUUAAAUAAUUGGAAUUUAAUUGUAGUAGUUUACACUUUUAUUUUUGAAUUUUAAAUAAAUUAAGUAUAUAUUGUUAAUUUAUUUUGGAUUUAAGGAUUAAAGUGAUUUGAGAUAACAAAAUUUGGAGGAGGAAGAUAUUAAAUGAGUUAAUACUUUCUCUGUUAAUAAUAAAUGGUUAUAGCUUGAUAGUGGAAUAGUACUUGAGGUGUCAAAAUAUGUAGAAGACACUUAUUCUUUAAGUAUAUCAGGAAUUUAUUUUAUUAGAUAAUUAUUUAGAAUAAAGUUUAGUUUUCAUUUAAUAGGAGGAUUAAAGUGAAAAUAUGGCAUCAACAAUAGAUAUUGUAGAGAUGCAUGGCCUCUUGCAUGAGUAAGUUAGAACAUACCAAUUUAGUUUUAGUUAAUAUCUCCUUUUGUUUUUAAAUUUAACAUCUCGAGUAACUAUUUAUGUCCUAAUUUUCUUUUCUCGCUAUAACUUCUUGUUGGCUUGAGUUGGGUUUAGUAAUUUUGGGCAUGUGAUAUUAUGAUUGGAUUGGAAAUUGAUGCUUGUAAGAUUUGGUCCAUGCUUGAAGAUUGAAGCUCGAAAUACAUAAGGAUUGGAUUGGCACAAGCGAUGUCGAAGGCUAUUUAGAGUUUAAAUUGGAGAACUGAUGAUGAGUUUGAAGCUUUCAACUCCAAGAGUUACAUUGUUUGAUAAUGAUUCUUGGGCUAAUUAUAACUUCUUAAUUUUCUUAUUUUGUUACUAUCUCCGUAAUUAGGUUAGUAACUAUUCUUUAAUUUUAUUUAUUUGCAUGAAGUGAGUAAGGGCUUUGGGUUACUUUAGAUGAUGAUUAUUGAUUGUGUUGUGUUUGAUUUUGUGUUUAUGGCUUAAUUUUUGUAUUGUGGCAUGAGAUGUUAGAUUGGUGCUAUGCCAAAUUAUGUGAACUUUAGGUUGGUCCUUCGAAGUGUGAAUUUGAUUGGAAUUUCGGGAUUUUGUCCCCUGUGUGACAGUCCACUUGUUUGAGCAUUAUCUAGAGUUCCACAACUCCAAAUGAGGCGAAAUCUGAACCUAUAGAAACUUUGAUCCAUCCUCUAAAACUAUUUAUUUUGUGGAAGGCCUAAUUCUGCUGUUUUGGAAGUAAAACUGAGUAUUAGAUUUUCAUGGUCAAUCUGACCUGACAGAUUGACGUAUCUACAAUGUUUUAUUUAGUCCUCCUUGUUCACUUUUUCAAAUGGCACAAGACCAAUUAGAAAUGAAACUAGACUUAAUGUCCCUGUGAUGUGGAAAAGAUGGUACCGGUAAUGGUUCCUAGAAUUUUUUGAGACAAUUUUGAGUAGAGCCUCAGAAAUCUGUCAUAGAUGACAGUUUGUUGAUUAUGUGUAAAUAGUAGUUUUAGAUGAUUAAUUGCUUGAGAAAAUCUAUUUUUUUUUAUGCCAUGUGAUUAGUAUGUGAUAUAUUUGUUGAUACAUUGCUGGUGGGAGCUUUGGUUUUGCAAUUAAAGGUUGAUUUUAAUAUUUGUUUGCUGAUGUCCCGAAUUCUGUACUAAAUUUUUUCUUGACAGUCAAAUUUGAAAAUUAAUAUGCCAAAUUCUACUACAAAUGAAUGGUUGAUUUUUGGGUAUUUUGUUUCCCGUCUGUGUAGUUUAUGGGUAUAAAAUGGCACUUUGAUCCAAUUGGUCGGAUGUUGACUUGUGGCUAUUUUUCUAGGGACUACCCGGAGAGAAUUUUCUAAACUAGAAUUAAGGAUAUUCCUUGUUUCUUAGAUUGCUUUCUAGUUUGGAAAAUUGCAAUUACCCCUUAAUUCAAUGAAUAUUUGACAGGCUUCGAUACAAGAAUUUAUGGGAUUUAAGCCCUUAGUUUAAGUUGAAAAUGGUACCUGAUUCAGUCUGAUAUAAUUUGAUUAGAUCUUUUAUUAUUGCACUGGUUUUGAUAUCAAUUUCAUGAUACUUUAUUUAAAACUUGCCAUCAACAUAGAGGAAAGUGUUUUUUAGAACUUCUUAUGUUAAGACUGAUUUCUAGGUUGUGUCACUUAUAGAUUCUUUCAUGGAAACAGGUAAACGAUUAGUGAAGAUAAGGCCUUUUCAGGUUAUAGUGCCCAAUUUUUUUAUAUUAAUCAUUGAGGCUUUAAAUUCUAUAUGCUACAGGUCUCCUUUUGCAUAUCCAAAGCAAAGGGAAUUAUUUGAAGCAUGAACCCUUUACGUUAGUGAUAGACAAUUGGCUCUUUCAUACCUUGCUGCCUUGCAGGUUAUUGCAUACGGUACACACCAAAUUGUGGAGCAUUGGAAUGCUCAUGGUCACAAACAGUGAUCCCUAAGUACUGGUUUACAGAGGGUGGGCAGAGUGCUACUGGUGCAUUAUUAGAUUACAUCAUGGAAAACCAUGCUGCUUC